rnacentral:lncRNA from 1 species
CCCUAACCUAACCUCCCCACCCCAAUAGGAUCCAGUGGAAGAAAAGUCAGGCAAACUCGAGCACGAACACACCACAAGGAGAUCAGAACUUCCAGCUGGCUCUCUGCUGCCACAGCUCCACCAAAGGGUGGGGGGAAUCAGAGGGAGCCUUGCCGGACACUAAACCCAGAGCUGAGAGGAGAGGCAGGUGGUACAGGUGCGUCCCUGGAUCAUGAGGUCAUCCCUCUGCUGGCUCCUCCCACUUCUCCUCAUCUUGGCCUCAGCGGCCCAAGGCCAGCCAACAAGACGACCAAGACCCAGACCAAGGCCCCGGCCAAGACCCAGACCCAGGCCAACACCCAGCUUUCCUGAUCCCCAUGAGCCAUCAGAGCCUACAGACCUGCCUCCUCCCCUCCCACCGGGCCCACCAUCUGUCUUUCCUGACUGUCCCCGGGAGUGCUACUGCCCCUCUGAUUUCCCAUCUGCCCUCUACUGUGACAGCCGCAACCUUCGAAAGGUCCCUGUCAUCCCGUCCCGCAUCCAUUACCUCUAUCUCCAGAACAACUUCAUAACCGAGCUUCCGGUGGAGUCCUUCAAGAAUGCCACAGGCCUGAGGUGGAUCAACCUGGACAACAACCGCAUUCGCAAGGUGGACCAGAGGGUGUUGGAGAAACUGCCCAGCCUGGUGUUCCUCUACAUGGAAAAGAACCAGCUCGAAGAGGUGCCCUCAGCCCUGCCCCGGAACCUGGAGCAGCUCAGGCUGAGCCAGAACCAGAUCUCCAGAAUCCCGCCCGGCGUCUUCAGCAAGCUGGAGAACCUGCUGCUCUUAGAUCUCCAGCACAAUAAGCUGAGUGACGGCGUCUUCAAACCCGACACCUUCCAGGGCCUUAAGAACCUCAUGCAGCUCAACCUGGCCCACAACAUCUUAAGAAAGAUGCCGCCCAAGGUCCCCACGGCCAUUCACCAGCUCUACCUGGACAGCAACAAGAUCGAGACCAUCCCCAAUGGAUACUUCAAGGGUUUCCCCAACCUGGCCUUCAUUCGCCUCAACUACAACAAGCUUUCAGACAGGGGACUCCCCAAGAACUCCUUUAAUAUCUCCAACCUGCUCGUGCUCCACCUGUCACACAACAAGAUCAGCAACGUGCCUGCCAUCAACAACAAGCUGGAGCACCUGUACCUCAACAACAACAGCAUCGAGAAAAUCAAUGGGACCCAGAUUUGCCCCACCGAUCUAGUCGCCUUCCACGACUUCUCCUCGGAUCUGGAGAACGUGCCACACCUCCGCUACCUGCGGCUGGAUGGGAACUACCUGAAGCCGCCCAUCCCACUGGACCUCAUGAUGUGCUUCCGCCUGCUGCAGUCCGUGGUCAUCUAGGCCUUCCUCUGCCCCUGGAGCCCCUGUGACCACACUUGACCCAGGAGCCCAUGCCCACCAUUUGUUUUCUCUGUCUCCUAUACUUGCUCCCACCUUUGCCUUUCUUAUCCCACCUUCCUGAGGCAGGGACAGGCCACAUACUCUGCUGCCCCUGCAGCUUCUAGAGCAAGACGUCUAAAGGCCGUAUUUGGUCCACGCAGCUCAAAGACACACACCACACACCCAAACUCCGGGCCCCAGAAGCAACGCUAUGUGUCUAGAGAUUUUUAUCUUCUCUUCUCCCUCUUCCUCCCCUCAGCCUUCCUGGGUAAGUCUGGGCCAUGGACUGACAUCUGGAUCUUGGUCUUGGCCAGAGCAAGCAGAAGAUGGUCAGGGGCAGCCCCGAAGUGGGGUUUGGAAAGUUCUGCUGGAAAAUGCUCCAUCUUCCAAUAGUGCUGCUUCACUGCCCCAUUCACUGGCACCAGACAUCACACUGGCUCUCUGUCCACCUCUGUUCCCCAGAAAGGAAGGGCAAGGGAAUGGCUGAGGGAGGGUGGAGGGUCAGAGAUUUGCACAAGGGCCUGCGUCAGCUGUCUCAUCAUAGGGACCAGAUGGAACCCUCCUCCUCAGCACACAGCUUCCUGGCUGGGACGCUCUACUCCAAGAGUAAGAGCAGGGAGUCACAGUCAAGGAGAAGAAUGGCUCAGAAAACUAGGAAUCAGUCAAUGGAGCCCUUAGGGGUGCAGAUGGGUCCUACAGCCCCCUUGGCCACUCUGGACAAGGGGCCCAAUGCCCUGGGGAACACAGUCUCCACAGUGGAGGGUACGGAGCCUUCAACCCCGACCUGCCAUCUGUUCUCUAUCAGUGGGAAUGGCCCGGUCCUUUCCAUUCCCCAGAAAAAUUCCUGAGAAACUGCUCAAGAAGGGGCAGAGCGCCUGGAAAUCUCCCAGAAGCCUCUUCCACUUGUGCAGAUUAGCCUCGCCUCCUAAGACAAGACACAGCAGUGACACCUGGUGGCUGGUGCUGGUCAUGUCUCCCCCCACCCCCCCACCCCCCACCCCCACCCUCCACCACCCAUGCUCCUUCUCUUCUCUCUCUGGGAUGAUUUUCCAAGGUCAAGGAGUUGGCCUUGGGUUCCAACUUGAAGAGCCAUGGGCAACAUAUGUGGUCACUCUCUCCUUUGGGAUCUAAAGGGCACAAAGGUAUGGAGGCCCCCAGUUGGAGGGCCUGAGCCCCAUCUUGAAUCAGCACAAGUAGGAACCUUGAGGAACCCAGGUGAGGAUAUGAUUUGUUCCCAUUUGCUGCCUGACCUGCGGCCCUUUCUGCGCUCAGCUUCCAAUGGUAAACCAAGGAGGUGGAUCAAGUGCCCUUCCAAGGACACUUUCGUGCUCAUGUUCCUGCAUGCAGCUCCAUCUUUCAGACCAUGCUCUAUGCAGGACAAGCCCGAAACAGCAUCCCUCUCUCCUGCAAUAAUUUAUUCCCUAUAUGGACCGUCCUUCCCUCAAAGUACCCAUCCUCCCUGCCUGGCCCAGAUAAGCAGGGUGACAGGCCUCCAAGGGGAGCCUGGGCUCCACAAGGCUGACUCGCCUUCACCUUCCCCUUAACUUCUCCUAGGGCAUGCUGCCCCUCUACAGUCCCUUCAGUGUGUGUUGGGGGUGGGGGGGAGGAAUAGUCUAGAAAUAAGUAGGACACAGUGCCUACUCUCAAGUUUGGUUGAGCCAAGUUCCAGAGAGUUUUAAGAAAUUGGAUUAAGCUGGGUCCCAAGGUCAAGAAAUUCCCACUAUACUCUUUUUUCUUUUCACUCUUCUCUGCUAAUUUACAGAAAAUGGGGCCCAUUUCAUCUCCUUCCCCCAUGUUCCCAUACAACUGGUUCGUUCUUCCUAGCUGCAGCUGGUUUCUCCAAGGCUCCUGCUUAAAGUCAAUAUAUUAUUGUGGCUGUAAGCAAUCUGGUGCUAUGGCCUGGAUAAGCCCCCCCUUCUGCACCUUAUUUCUUCCUUGCGCCCUCAGCCCUUCUGGGCAGCACAACUCCCAGGGCUCCCUGGGCGGGGAGGGAUCAUGCCCCUGCUUCUGCAAACCUGAACUGUUUUGUUUUGGCAGCAUUACAUUCAUCAUCAUCCCAUUGCCCCAUCUGGAAGAUGCCUGCUUCCUCCCCUGCUGCCUGCAGCUGUAAACCAGAGGAUAUUAAACUAGUUUUACAGCCACACACACACACACACACAUAUUUGUGGUCAUUUCCCUUGGGAUUAAGGAAGCCCCCUCCUCCCCACACACAAAUUCAUUCCCUCAGUGCUGCUGGCAUAUGCAUACACAGAUGUGUAAGUAGGUGUGCAUGUGUACUCUGUACAUAUAGCUAUUCUUUCCUGAAGACCAUGCUAACUUUAUGAAACUACUUUCACAUUCCAAUGUGCUUCACAGCAGAGGAAAUAAAGUGAUAUGAAAAA